rnacentral:rRNA from 1 species
AGGGAUCAUUACAGAGUUCCUGCCCUCACGGGUAGAUCUCCCACCCUUGUGUAUUUUUAUGAUGUCUUGUUGCUUUGGCAGGCCGCUGGGCUUCUUCGGCCUGGCCACCGGCUCCCUGGGGGCUGGUGCGCGCCUGCCAGAGGAUCUCUCAAACUCGGUUUGUUAGUGUCGUCUGAGUACUAUAACAAUCGUUAAAACUUUCAACAACGGAUCUCUUGGUUCUGGCAUCGAUGAAGAACGCAGCGAAAUGCGAUAAGUAAUGUGAAUUGCAGAAUUCAGUGAAUCAUCGAAUCUUUGAACGCACAUUGCGCCCCUUGGUAUUCCGAGGGGCAUGCCUGUUCGAGCGUCAUUUCAACCCCUCAAGCUCUGCUUGGUGUUGGGCAUUCGCCGCUUUCCCGCGGCGGGCCUUAAAAUCAGUGGCGGUGGCCGUCUUAGGCUCUAAGCGUAGUAGUAACCUCUCGCUCUGGAGACCCGGCGGUGACCUGCCAGACAACCUUUUUUACUUUUUUUCAAAGGUUKGACCUCGGAUCAGGUAGGGAUACCCGCUGAAU